AUCCCAUGUUGAGGACACUUCCUUAAUAAUUCCUUGUACCUUUCCCAUGCCUCAUACAAAUUUUCAAACUCCAUCUGUCGGAAAGAAGAUAUGUCAUUUCUAAGCUU